UCGAGCGCAGUGCUGUGAAAGUCGCAUGGUGCGUUCUUCGGGGGGGCGCGUUCCCGGGAGGGGCUGCGGCUACCCAAU
rnacentral:misc_RNA from 1 species